UAACUCUCAUCUUACACCGUUGGAUCGAGAAAUGAACGUUCAAGAUUCAUCCACAUCACCAUGAGUUAAACUUUAACUCACAGAUUCACUCAUAAGUAAAAUUUACUGGGAGUUAAAUUUUAACUCAUGGUGACGUGGACGAAUCUCGGACAUCCAUUUCUCGAUCCAACGGUGUAGGAUGAGAGUUG
rnacentral:pre_miRNA from 1 species